rnacentral:rRNA from 1 species
GAUGAACGCUGGCAGCGUGCCUAAUACAUGCAAGUCGAGCGAACAGAUGAGGAGCUUGCUCCUCUGACGUUAGCGGCGGACGGGUGAGUAACACGUGGAUAACCUACCUAUAAGACUGGGAUAACUUCGGGAAACCGGAGCUAAUACCGGAUAAUAUAUUGAACCGCAUGGUUCAAUAGUGAAAGACGGUUUUGCUGUCACUUAUAGAUGGAUCCGCGCCGCAUUAGCUAGUUGGUAAGGUAACGGCUUACCAAGGCAACGAUGCGUAGCCGACCUGAGAGGUGAUCCGGCCACAGGGGAAUGAGAAACCGGCCCGACUCCCACGGGAGGGAGCAGGAGGGAAACUUUGCGAAUGGGCCAAAAGCCGACCGGGCAAACCCGCGGGAGGGAAUAAAGGUUUUGGAUCGGAAAAACCUUUUUUUAGGGAAAAAAAAAAUGGGAAAGAAACUAAGCCCCUCUGAAGGUAACUAAACAAAAAACCCCCGCUAACCUCCGU